ensembl:lncRNA
AGUGCAAAAUGUUGGAAAAGUAUAAAUAUUUGAUACUAAAUACUAUAAGUAUGUCAUUAUUUCGCACAGAUGCUAGCAUUCACCAUGUGUACACUCUAUAAUCAAGGGCUUUGUAGCAUUUUUGCAAGAAUAUCACUUCACCAAGCUAUGUGAUAUAUUCAUCCACAGAAUUUGACUCUGAAUUUAUGGUCCUGAUUCCUGACUUUGUACACUGGCAUCUGCUUUCUCUUUUAGCCAGUCAGAAGUGAAAAAAGCCUUGAGUGAAAUUCUCCACCCAGCUGGAUUCUCAAAAGAAUGUUCUUGUCCCUAAGCAAUCAUUUAUAUAUUUUUUUCGAAACCCAAUGAAUUCACAUGUAGGAACUGCAGGAAGGGAGUGUCGAACAAUGUACAGUACCUCCCCACAUUACUCAGAUGAGUCCUUAUGUGAGAUUGGAAGCGAGAUAAUGGCAGUCAUGCAGCUGCACUUGCUAUGUGUGGGCACUGCAUUAGCCGCAGGGGAUGCUACAGCUUGCCAGAUUCGCUUAGCAGAUAUUAGCUUCUCAAGCUUUCAACUCGAGAGAGUUUCACUGUUUUGUUUUUUUCCCACGAUAAAGGACCGCCAUGAGGCUUCGUACGAGUUGUAAGACUCGGACCUGAACGAAGCCUCCACUCCCUAGCUGCACACGCGUCGUUGCCUGACUGCCGAGAAGAGCCUCGAUUCCUCCGGAAAGCAUCGGCGCGACGCCGGAAGCCCUGCAGCCCACUGAUCCCGCACCACACGCUGCCAUGCCCACACGCAAGCACACGAGAGCAUGCACGUACACCCUCGCACUCACGCACACCCCCAGAACCUCACAAAUAAAGAAAACUUUCGUUUCGCAGUUACAAUGGCCUCCUGUGUGUCUGUGCUCCACCCACCGCGGACUAAUAUCCUU